rnacentral:rRNA from 1 species
CUACGGGCUGCUGCAGGUAAGAAUAAUCUACAAUGCGCGAAAGCGUGAUAGUUUGAGUCAGAGUGAUUUUCUUUUUGAAAAUCUUUUGGAAAAUGUAAAAAGUUUUCCGAAUAAGGACUGGGUAAGACUAGUGCCAGCCGCCGCGGUAAUACUAGCGGUCCAAGUCGCAGCCAUUUUUAUUGGGUCUAAAACAUCCGUAGCUUGCUUUAUAAGUUCCUUGUGAAAUUUUGUAUCUCAAAUACGAAGCGUGCAAGAAAUACUGCAAAGCUAGAGACUGGAAGACGUAAGAAGUAUGUUCGAAGUAUUAGUAAAAUGAGUUAAUCUCGGACAGACUACCAACAGCGAAGGCAUCUUACGAGGACAGUUCUGACAGUAAGGGAUGAAGGCUAGGGGCGCAAAACGGAUUAGAUACCCCCGUAGUC